rnacentral:rRNA from 1 species
UACGGAGGGAGCUAGCGUUAUUCGGAAUUACUGGGCGUAAAGCGCACGUAGGCGGCUUUGUAAGUAAGAGGUGAAAGCCUGGUGCUCAACACCAGAACUGCCUUUUAGACUGCAUCGCUUGAAUCCAGGAGAGGUGAGUGGAAUUCCGAGUGUAGAGGUGAAAUUCGUAGAUAUUCGGAAGAACACCAGUGGCGAAGGCGGCUACCUGGCCCAUUACUGACGCUGAGGCUCGAAAGCGUGGGGAGCAAACAGU